CAGACUGUAAAGACAACACUUCUUUAUUGAAGGCAGAGACGAACAUUUUACAUUCAGCCUCAGAAGACAAAGGUGCAACCCAACCCUCCACUGUACAGCUCUCAGGACCAGAGCCUGUCUUCUCCAGACUACAAGAUGAGAACUGCAGUAUGUGCCAUCCUUCUCCUGAUGCUUCUGUGUCAAGGAGAAGCUCUGAGAUGCAACCACUGCCGCUCAUAUUGGAACAGACCGUGCAAACCUCUGAUAGAAGUCUGUCGGGGACGUUCUGAUGUAUGUGGUUUAGUCACAUUCAGAGGUGGCUCAAUUCGUAAAUGCAUAUCCAAGAGGUCGUGGGCGUGUCAGAGAAAUAACGGAAUCCCUUACUAUGCACGAUGCUGCAGCACCGACCUCUGCAACUGAUCCUCUUCAUCACCGGCUGGACCAUCAUCUCUGAUCUCUGGAAGCUUCUCUGUUGGAUCCACUCUGUUGCUGUCAGAUGAAAGUGUGUUGGACUUGUUUGAAUAAAAGAAA